GGGCUCAUUCCUUGCUUCUGACUUAGUUUCUGUGUUUUUGUCUCUGAGGCCCCAGGGAUGGUUAGUCCCUCAGACCCAAGACCUGAGACCAGCACAUCAGGAGGUCACCACGGUCACCGACUCAUGAACAGGGACAGUGACAUCUCAGAAGGACUCCCUGGAGCCCCUCUCCACUCUCAUCCACACUCAGACCAGAGGUCCCUCGGCCUGCCCCACCUUCGCCAUGAGCCCCUGCCUCCUGGGUUGUGUGGUCUUCUGUCUCCUGCAGGCAGGGGCGGUCCACACUGGUGUCACCCAGGACCUCAGAUUCCAGGUCGUGAGGACAGGACAGAGGGCGACACUUAAUUGUAUUCAGUAUAUGAUCCAUGAUUAUAUGUACUGGUACCGACAAGACCUGGGACACCGGCUGAGGCUGAUCCAUUACCCAGCUGUUGCUCCCAACUCCGAGAAAGGAGACGUGCCCGUCGGGGACAGAGUCUCCAGACCAAACACAGAGAACUUCCCUCUCACGCUGGAGUCCACCAACCUCUCCCAGACAUCUGUGUACUUCUGCGCCAGCAGUUACUCCACGCCAUUGCACGGCCACCUGCUCUGUGUACAAAAGGACAGGGGGCCACGUGCAGGCUCCGAGCACCGGGAGCCUCAUGCCCUGGGGUCCACGUGCCAGCACUGUGACCCUGGAUGUGCGAUCUGAACAGGCCUGGAUCUGACCCCAGGGACUCGGAGACAUGUGUCCACCAUCCGUCUCUCUUUUGGAAAGCUCCAGUUCUGACUAGUUCUGACUGUUACUCAUCAGCUUAAGACCCCAGAAGGGAAGAAUAUUGGUAAAUCAGGUACAUCUAGACCCACUUGUCUCUCCCCAGCACCUCAUUGCUAUCUCUCUGGAAGUUUCUCCCCCAGCCUAACUCUCAAGUGCUCCCUGCUCUUGCCCACCAGAGGGGCGGGUCUUCCUCCCUUACUGCCUUGGCCGCAGCUCCCCUGCCCUCUCUGCUCCAGACACACUGCCCUCCCCUUAUCUGGGUCAUGGCCCUUCCCAUGACACAGGGAAAUUUGUAACCAUGCCUAAGCCGCUGUGUUUGAGAAAGCUCUUGCAGUCAUCAAAGAGAAAACACCCUCAGUUAAUUAGAAACCGUCCAGAAUCUCUCGGGAGUCCAUUCGCAGGAUGAGAGACAGGCUGGGUGUGUGUGUUCUCCUCCCUGCCCCUCUUUCUUAGCAUCUCAAUUGACUUGGACCAGGUUUCCACCAUUU